UGAGUAAACUGUACGGCAGCGCGCUUUUGCGUGAGGAAAGUCCGGGCAUCACAGGGCGGGAUAGCUGCUAACGGCAGCCGGAGGCGACUCUAGGGAAAGUGCAACAGAGAUAUACCGCCGGAAUUUUUCCGGUAAGGGUGGAAAGGCGAGGUAAGAGCUCACCGGCGUGUGGGAGACCCCACGACCCUGCAAAC
rnacentral:RNase_P_RNA from 1 species